GAUGAACGCUGGCGGCGUGCCUAAUACAUGCAAGUCGAGCGAACGGACGAGAAGCUUGCUUCUCUGAUGUUAGCGGCGGACGGGUGAGUAACACGUGGAUAACCUACCUAUAAGACUGGGAUAACUUCGGGAAACCGUAGCUAAUACCGGAUAAUAUUUUGAACCGCAUGGUUCAAAAGUGAAAGACGGUCUUGCUGUCACUUAUAGAUGGAUCCGCGCUGCAUUAGCUAGUUGGUAAGGUAACGGCUUACCAAGGCAACGAUGCAUAGCCGACCUGAGAGGGUGAUCGGCCACACUGGAACUGAGACACGGUCCAGACUCCUACGGGAGGCAGCAGUAGGGAAUCUUCCGCAAUGGGCGAAAGCCUGACGGAGCAACGCCGCGUGAGUGAUGAAGGUCUUCGGAUCGCAAAACUCUGUUAUUAGGGAAGAACAUAUGUGUAAGUAACUGUGCACAUCUUGACGGUACCUAAUCAGAAAGACACGGCUAACUACGUG
rnacentral:rRNA from 1 species